GUCAGGUGUGGUGGUGCAUGCCUGUAAUCCCAGAUACUCGGGAGACUGAGGCAGGAGAAUUACUUGAACCCAGGAGGCAGAGGCUGCAGUGAGCUGAGACUGCACCACUGCACUCCAGCCUGGGUGACAGAGUGAGACCCUGUCUCAA
ensembl:misc_RNA Metazoa_SRP Metazoan signal recognition particle RNA